CCUCCAUCAUUUUUCAUUGACAACUGUUCUUGAUUUUUAAGGUAUCCUGCUUACAAUAAAGCAACAACAAAAUAACAUUCUUAACAGAGGUGACAUAUAAA